rnacentral:rRNA from 1 species
CAGCCGCCGCGGGAAUACGAAGGGGGCUAGCGUUGUUCGGAAUUACUGGGCGUAAAGGGCGCGUAGGCGGCCAUUCAAGUUAGAUGCGAAAGCCCUGGGCUCAACCUAGGAAUUGCAUUUGAUACUGUUUGGCUUGAGUUCGGGAGAGGUGAGUGGAAUUCCCAGUGUAGAGGUGAAAUUCGUAGAUAUUGGGAAGAACACCAGUGGCGAAGGCGGCUCACUGGACCGACACUGACGCUGAGGUGCGAAAGCGUGGGGAGCAAACAGGAUUAGAUACCCCUGUAGUCCCUGUCUCUUAUAC